rnacentral:lncRNA from 1 species
CUUGGUCUACCUCAUCAUAAAAAGGAUUUCAAGGUAGCGUGCAAUUUUCCCCUUUAAUAUGAGAGAAGAAAAGGAGGAUGGUGAGGACAGCAUCCUUCCAGAAGAGCACAGUGGUCUCUGAAGCUGACAAGUUGUCCCCCAUGGGUACAGUGUGUCAGCUGCUCUGCUUCUCAAAUCUCCCUCUGCACAUGCCUUGGGGUCCACAGAGAACAUCUUCCUGGACAUGAUGAAAAAUGGAUUCCAGCCUCGUCGCGCCCGAUCUGCCGCCACCACAGCGCGUCCGCCUUGGCCACCGCCACGAGCUUUCUCUGGUCCCUUUCCCUUCGCUGACCUCGCCAGGCUCAGCCCGCCAGCGCCCCCGCCCGCCUCCCGCCCCACCAUGCCGC